rnacentral:tRNA from 1 species
GGGCAAUUCUCGGCAAUGCCGUUCGGCAAGUCUCUUAAUCAGCGGGUCCGGGGUUCGAGUCCCCGAUCGCCCUCCA